rnacentral:rRNA from 1 species
UACGGGGGGGGCAAGCGUUGUUCGGAAUUACUGGGCGUAAAGGGCGCGUAGGCGGCCUUCUAAGUCGGACGUGAAAUCCCUCGGCUUAACCGAGGAACUGCGUCCGAUACUGAAAGGCUUGAAUCCGGGAGAGGGAUGUGGAAUUCCAGGUGUAGCGGUGAAAUGCGUAGAUAUCGGGAGGAACACCGGUGGCGAAGGCGGGUCUCUGGGCAACUCCUGACGCUGAGGCGCGAAAGCGUGGGGAGCAAACGGG